GACGAACGCUGGCGGCGUGCUUAACACAUGCAAGUCGAGCGGAAAGGCUCCAGCUUGCUGGAGUACUCGAGUGGCGAACGGGUGAGUAACACGUGGGUAAUCUGCCCUGCACUCUGGGAUAAGCCUGGGAAACUGGGUCUAAUACUGGAUAUGACCUUUCUCCUUAUGGGGUUUGGUGGAAAGUUUUUCGGUGUAGGAUGAGCCCGCGGCCUAUCAGCUUGUUGGUGGGGUGAUGGCCUACCAAGGCGACGACGGGUAGCCGGCCUGAGAGGGUGAUCGGCCACAUUGGGACUGAGAUACGGCCCAGACUCCUACGGGAGGCAGCAGUGGGAAUAUUGCACAAUGGGCGGAAGCCUGAUGCAGCGACGCCGCGUGAGGGAUGACGGCCUUCGGGUUGUAAACCUCUUUCAGCAGGGACGAAGCGUAAGUGACGGUACCUGCAGAAGAAGCACCGGCUAACUAUGUG
rnacentral:rRNA from 1 species